GGGAGCCUUACAGAUGGAUUUCCUAUUGAUUUAUGAAGUGACACCCGUUAUCUGCGUCAACUGUGCCCUCAGCAAAUCAGGGAGAGUUUGGGACGUUCCCGACUGCACCUUCUACCACAUUAGCCCCUCCCUAAAGCCAUGAAGAACUUUCUACAAUAUAGAUAAUGUCCUUAUGUUUGCUUAGUUUUACUGUACUUAUGACUUACUUUGACUUAUAGCCUAAAUAAUAAAAGCUGUUUUUACCUUU